GUGGGGAAUAUUGGGCAAUGGGCGAAAGCCUGACCCAGCAACGCCGCGUGAAGGAAGAAGGUCUUCGGAUCGUAAACUUCUAUCCUUGGUGAAGAUAAUGACGGUAGCCGAGAAGGAAGCCCCGGCUAACUACGUGCCAGCAGCCGCGGUAAUACGUAGGGGGCAAGCGUUGUCCGGAAUGAUUGGGCGUAAAGGGCGCGUAGGCGGCCUGGUAAGUCUGGAGUGAAAGUCCUGCUUUUAAGGUGGGAAUUGCUUUGGAUACUGUCGGGCUUGAGGGCAGGAGAGGUAAGUGGAAUUCCCGGUGUAGCGGUGAAAUGCGUAGAGAUCGGGAGGAACACCAGUGGCGAAGGCGACUUACUGGACUGUAACUGACGCUGAGGCGCGAAAGUGUGGGGAGCAAACAGGAUUAGAAACCCGGGUAGUCC
rnacentral:rRNA from 1 species